GUGGGGAAUAUUGGACAAUGGGCGAAAGCCUGAUCCAGCCAUGCCGCGUGUGUGAAGAAGGUCUUCGGAUUGUAAAGCACUUUAAGUUGGGAGGAAGGGCAGUAAGUUAAUACCUUGCUGUUUUGACGUUACCGACAGAAUAAGCACCGGCUAACUUCGUGCCAGCAGCCGCGGUAAUACGAAGGGUGCAAGCGUUAAUCGGAAUUACUGGGCGUAAAGCGCGCGGAGGUGGUUUUGUAAGGUGGAGGUGAAAUCCCCGGGCUCAACCUGGGAACUGCCACCAAAAGUGCAUGACUAGAGUACGGUAGAGGGUAGUGGAAUUUCCUGUGUAGCGGUGAAAUGCGUAGAUAUAGGAAGGAACACCAGUGGCGAAGGCGACUACCUGGACUGAUACUGACACUGAGGUGCGAAAGCGUGGGGAGCAAACAGGAUUAGAUACCCUUGUAGUCC
rnacentral:rRNA from 1 species